GCCACACAAGGGUCAUUACCGAGUUUACACUCCCAACCCCUACACUGUCUGAACAUACCACUUGUUGCCUCGGCGGAUCAGCCCGCUCCCGGUAAAACGGGACGGCCCGCCAGAGGACCCCUAAACUCUGUUUCUAUAUGUAACUUCUGAGUAAAACCAUAAAUAAAUCAAAACUUUCAACAACGGAUCUCUUGGUUCUGGCAUCGAUGAAGAACGCAGCAAAAUGCGAUAAGUAAUGUGAAUUGCAGAAUUCAGUGAAUCAUCGAAUCUUUGAACGCACAUUGCGCCCGCCAGUAUUCUGGCGGGCAUGCCUGUUCGAGCGUCAUUUCAACCCUCAAGCACAGCUUGGUGUUGGGACUCGCGUUAAUUCGCGUUCCUCAAAUUGAUUGGCGGUCACGUCGAGCUUCCAUAGCGUAGUAGUAAAACCCUCGUUACUGGUAAUCGUCGCGGCCACGCCGUUAAACCCCAACUUCUGAAUGUUGACCUCGGAUCAGGUAGGAAUACCCGCUGAACUUAAGCAUAU
rnacentral:rRNA from 1 species